AAACUAGAAGAACCUAUUCCUCUCUGCGUUCCAUUCAUUUUCCUCCAUCAUCGAGAAGAGACAAAGGAAAAAAAAACCCUAAGACGAGAUGAUGCUUCGAGUAGCAGGUAGAAGGCUUUCUUCUUCAGCCGCUAGAUCUUCAUCUAGCUUCUUUACAAGAAGCUCUUUCACCGUUACCGAUGAUUCGUCUCCGGCCAGAUCUCCUUCUCCGUCACUCACCUCUUCGUUUCUCGAUCAAAUCAGAGGUUUCUCAUCUAAUUCGGUUUCUCCCGCACAUCAGUUGGGUUUAGUCUCGGAUCUUCCAGCCACUGUGGCUGCGAUUAAGAACCCCAGUUCAAAAAUUGUAUAUGAUGACUCCAACCAUGAGCGUUAUCCACCUGGUGAUCCAAGCAAACGUGCUUUUGCUUACUUUGUCUUGACAGGAGGUAGGUUCGUCUAUGCCUCAUUGCUUCGCCUCCUGAUUCUCAAGUUUGUUCUGAGCAUGUCUGCUAGUAAAGAUGUCCUUGCACUUGCUUCUCUUGAGGUGGAUCUUUCCAGCAUUGAACCAGGGUCAACUGUUACUGUCAAGUGGCGUGGAAAACCUGUUUUCAUCAGACGCCGCACUGACGAUGACAUCAAGUUGGCAAACAGUGUUGAUCUUGGCACCCUUCGUGACCCGCAACAAGAUGCUGAGAGGGUCAAAAAUCCAGAAUGGCUUGUGGUUGUUGGGGUAUGUACUCAUCUAGGGUGCAUUCCUUUACCAAAUGCUGGUGAUUUUGGUGGUUGGUUUUGCCCAUGCCAUGGCUCUCAUUACGACAUCUCUGGUAGGAUUCGCAAAGGACCCGCACCGUAUAAUCUGGAGGUGCCUACCUACAGUUUCUUGGAAGAGAACAAGUUACUUAUUGGUUGAGAAAUUGUCUUAGUUUCCAAGACAACUUGUAGCUGCUGGAGCAAAAUUGGAUCUUGCGUAGCUUUCUUGAGUUAUACAUGGAUUGUAUUUACUGACCAGUACUGGUAGCACACUUUUUUGAGUGAAUAAUUCUGCUGGAUGUUUGUUAAGAGAUUUUCUGAUGCCUCAUAUUUGUUUUGAAUAAACUUUCCAAAGAUUUACGUAUUUAUUAGUCUAAAUAUGUGAUUGUG
rnacentral:misc_RNA from 1 species